rnacentral:rRNA from 1 species
AUGCAUGCAUGCAUGCAAUGCAGGGUUAAUGUGCCUCUGAGACGAGCGGGGGAACACGUUUUCGCCCCCCCUCGCUCGCCGUCGCAGGCUCUCUUUACUCGUGGCCGGCCGGUGGCGGUACGGCCACGGGAGCUACGCCAAGGAACAUCGGCCUCUUUUUCCUCGGGUUCAGCGACGGCGACGACUGAGCGAGCCAGUGAAUUAAUGCAUGGGGUGAAUGAUCAUGGGAAGCGGGUCCUUACAGCACUGUGCAGCUGCUGUGGGUGCGGCAUCGGCCACGAAGGGAAGAUCUCCAGCGUGGGGGGCCUGCCCGCGCCCGCCAGCUGUUCGUGCGUCCUCCCGGCCGGACCUCUCUCUCUCUCUUCCCCCCUUACCAGAGAGAGAGAGAGAAAGCUGUAG